CACACACACAAUCACACACAAUGCACCCCUUACACACAAAGACAAUGAACCCCUUGCACACAGAAAAACACACAAUGCAUUACACACACACGCAAUGCAACCCUUACACACAAUGCAUCCCUUACACACACAGAAACACACAAUGCAUUCCUUACACACACUCAAUGCACCCCUUAAACACACUCAAAGCACCCCUUACAGACUCACACACUUCAUCCCUUACAUACACCUUACACAUACAAACACAGAUUCACACAAUGCAUUCCUUACACACAAAUCAGGACAUCCCCUACACACUCUACCCCCUGUGAACAAACUCAUUGGUGGAACAUGAAG